AAAUCAGCGUUGGGAAUUCAUUGGCAGCUGAGCAGGGAUUUUCACGUUUUACUGGGGUCUAAGUGGGGAAACUGAAACCCCUGAGAAGUGUCCAAAACUGUCUGAGGCUCCAGCUCCCUGGACACGGCUGCUGCCAUGAGAUGUCUCGGCCAAGGAUUUUGAGCCAAGAUAUAAGGGAAAUGGUUUAACCAGAUGUGUGCCCAUGCCUGUGACACUGAACUCCGAGAUGCCGAUCUGUAAAAAGCUUGUCAUCUCCCCUGCCUCCCCGCAGCUAGGGAAGACUGAGGCAUGGAAUCCGGUCCAUCUUCUAGCUCCCCAAGUGCAGCAAGAACAUUUACGGACUGAUCUUCUACAUCUUCUCUCAAGCACUUGAAUUUCCAGGUGCAUGCAUUUUCAGGGCACAAGCAACCACAGGAAAACUGCUUUUCAAAAGCAUUUACCCCAGAAUUCAUUUUGUUUGACUGAGUGCGCUGGAUGUUUCCCUGGUCAAGACCCAUAUUCCUGCUUUUCGGAACUGAAGCGACACGGUAAAAUACUGCUAACCCAGACUUUGAACCUGCACUGCUUGAAAACAAUGCUUUCCACACACACGAGAGAGAGGAAAAAAAAAAACAAAACAGGAAUCUUAAAAGAGUGACACUGUAACUGGAAACAUUUAAAUACAGCAAAACAUAAAUUCCUCUUCUAUGCAAAGCUACAAAAGUCCAGUCUUUGUAUUGUCUUCACAGGUUAUGGUUUAUGGCUAUGCUGAGAGUCUCUGAGAUUCUUUUUUUUUUUAAUAUAUUUUUUCAUUUUUUUGAAAUCCUGUAGAGAAGACCCUGCGGACACAUCUUUGUGUUUGCAACUUUCUGAAUUACAUUGCAAAACUGUGCAUACAGAAUCUGAGAAAUAAAUACAUUCAUUACUGCACAUACAUAUUGAUACAAAAACAACACUGUCAAAUAGUGUUUGCACCAUCUUUGUUAGAUAUUAAGACCAGGCAAAAUUAAUAUUUCAUUUUCCAUCAGCCCCCCCCCUCAAAUGUUUGAGGUGGCUUUGGUGUAGAAGGUAAAAGCUACAAAGGGUCAAGACUAAUGAUGGGGAAUUUAAAAAAAAAAAAUCCUUUUUUUUUUUUGGCUUCAGCGGUAGUUUAGCAAACCAUCUUCAUUGGUCAUCUUUAGACUGUUCUAACAUGCAAAUCAAGCUUAGGUUUCACCUAGAAAGCCUUGCAGGUUUUGGUCGGUCUCUUUGCGCAUGACUGUAAGGUCUGGAGUGAAUCCAUCCAGCUGUUCAACUAAAAGGUGGCUCACAGUCCGAACAGUGUAGCGCAGGCCCCAGCACAGCUCUAGACAGAAGCAGGAGGCUACGUGCCUGCGUUCUCACCCUCACCCCAGACCCUUAAAGCUACCCAAGUCACCACCUCAUCCUCGCAUGGACGUCGGCUGCCUCUGCGCAGCCCCUGCCCGGCGCGGCGGGGCGGUUCAGAGUUGUGCGUACUCUGCCACGUCAGCAGCCACAGAGCCUCACAGAAGCUGCGUGCCAAUAGCUCUUUGGUGUCUUCUGUGGUCUCUGUGGCUCCUGCUAACUCCCCCAGAUGCACAGAGCUGGGCUUUUUUUUUUUUUUUUUUCCAGGAAUUUGGUUUUGGACGUUUUGCAGUAAGGACUGGAAAACAGUUUAGCCCAGCUCACCCAUGGCUAGCAUUAAGGAGAUGUGCUGGGUACAGCAGCUCCCACCAUCUUCUGCCAACACCCUUCUCUGAUCUCCAGAGCUUCUUGCAUCUCUCUACCCUCUGUUUACCCACUCAUACUCCUCUGAGGAAGAGCUCAGCUGGUUUAGGCCAAAUACCAAUAUUUGCCUCUCUGUUGCACCUGCAGACUGAGGGCCUGGGCAGCCCCGGCUGCAGUGGCCGGCGGCACAGCUUCACGUUGUGGCCCUAGUCCAAAGCACCUCCUGCUUGCCCAGACGGAGACACUCCCAGGAGUGCCUCCGCACUACUGCCUGGGUCUCUUCUGUGAUGCCCCUCUAGGGUUGAAGACAAAAAUCCUAAAUCUCCGUGCCAUAUUUCUGAUCGCCCUCCCCGAGCAGUGCUGGAAUGCAGGCUGGGUCGCAGGUUUCCCCUCUCGAUUUGGGGAACGCUGCAAUAGCCUUCAGACAAACCAAUGGAAAAAGCAAAGAUUAAUUUUGACUGGCCCCUAGAUCUGUUGAGGUCUGAAACUGUAAAAGUUUAUGUAAACAAUGAGAUAAAUAUAUUAGUACUUUUCUGAGCCAAGUGAGGUUCCAUACUCAUUCAAAUGUGCUUUGGUUUAAAAAAUAGUUUUGUGAAUUUGGGUAUGAGCUUCUUUAUUUUUUAUACAACUUUUGCUAUUUUAUCUUUUUUUUUUUCCUGUUAUUCCGAAAACAUUCUGGAACUAAGUGACUAAAGCAUAUACUUAAGCUGCCAGGCCUCUUUUCUUUUUUUUUUCUUUUUUUUGUUGUUUUUAAAUUGUUUUAUUCCUCUUGAGGCUCUUUGUGUAUUUCAAAAAAAAAUUUAAAAUAAAAUUAAAAAAAAAUG